CAUGCACCGGGAGCCCGACGUGGGAUUCGAUCCCGGGUCUCCAGGAUCGCGCCCUGGGCCAAAGGCAGGCGCCAAACCCCUGCGCCACCCAGGGAUCCCCAUAAUUAACUUUUUAAUCAUGUCCAUUCUUACAUCAGACUAAAGCCAAUGGAAACAAAUUACAGGAACAGAGUCCAAGAGGAAAAAUGGAGCUAGAGGUCAAAACUCGUAGUGAGUGGGAAGAAUCAAUGACUCCCAGUUUUGAAAAGUUAAUGAAAAUUGGUGCCACCAACUAAGACAAAAGGGAUAACAAGCAUGAAGAGGAACACAAUGAGUUCAAUACUGCUGAUACCAUGCACUAAAACAAGUGAAAACAAAAACAGAGGGACAAGAUUCACUGUAAGCAUUUGGGAUUUCAAUAAAAGAAGCUUUUUAUUAAGCUUUUUCUAAAGCUUAAUAUGCACAGAAAUGUAUUUAUUAUUUCAAAAACAAAUAUAUAGAUCAGACACACACUAAAAAAGAUUAACAAGGCAGGAACCUCUUCUGCUCCUAUGGGUCCAUGUGGAACCUGAAACUUGGCUGAUGGAAACAACUUUCCAAUUUAGAAGACUAUUUUUUGAAAAUUAUAAUAGCGCCUAGCAAGGUUGCUGUGAAGUACAAAUAAGAACACAAAGUGCUUUACAGUGUAUCUGAACAGGCAAGAGCACAGAUAUCUCCAGGCAAUUGCUGUGGAAGAAAAGUAAGCAAUCUAUAGGUUAUGUGGGCAGAGUAUUGGUAUCUAGACUCUGACCCAGGGAAGAAGGUACUGAGGCAGCACAACUGUCGUUUAUUUUUAAGAACAACGACCUACCAGGCAUUGGAAUCCAAGUCUUUUGAAGUCUCAAGCAUCAAUCAUCUUAGCUUAUAAGUCAUCAGUAAGAUCAAUAUUUCUAUUAUUCAGCCUUCAGCUAGAUCCUCAGUUACAUCUAUCUGAGACAAGGAAAGUACUAAAGCAAAAGCUAAAUUGCAGGCACCACCAGAGAGCCACAGACCCUUAUUUGAGGAAGAAACAAAAUAUCAGAGAGCCACUGGAGGAUAAUCCAGACUUCCAAAAUUAGCAGGCAAUAAACUGAAAAGUCCAGAUAUUGUUCUCUAUCAUCUGUCAACAAGAUGCACUUUUCUUUCUGUUUUUUUUUUCAAGUCUCUAAUUUUCAAGGAUUAGUGUAAGAUUACAACAGGUAGUG